UGGCGGGGGGCCUAGCUAUACAUGCAAGUCGAGCGGACAGAUGGGAGCUUGCUCCCUGAUGUUAGCGGCGGACGGGUGAGUAACACGUGGGUAACCUGCCUGUAAGACUGGGAUAACUCCGGGAAACCGGGGCUAAUACCGGAUGGUUGUUUGAACCGCAUGGUUCAAACAUAAAAGGUGGCUUCGGCUACCACUUACAGAUGGACCCGCGGCGCAUUAGCUAGUUGGUGAGGUAACGGCUCACCAAGGCAACGAUGCGUAGCCGACCUGAGAGGGUGAUCGGCCACACUGGGACUGAGACACGGCCCAGACUCCUACGGGAGGCAGCAGUAGGGAAUCUUCCGCAAUGGACGAAAGUCUGACGGAGCAACGCCGCGUGAGUGAUGAAGGUUUUCGGAUCGUAAAGCUCUGUUGUUAGGGAAGAACAAGUACCGUUCGAAUAGGGCGGUACCUUGACGGUACCUAACCAGAAAGCCACGGCUAACUACGUGCCAGCAGCCGCGGUAAUACGUAGGUGGCAAGCGUUGUCCGGAAUUAUUGGGCGUAGGGGGGCUCGCAGGCGGUUUCUUAAGUCUGAUGUGAAAGCCCCCCGGCUCAACCGGGGAGGGUAUUGGCAACUGGGCGCACUUGAUUGCAAAAGAG
rnacentral:rRNA from 1 species